rnacentral:rRNA from 1 species
UACAGAGGUCUCGAGCGUUAGGCGGAAUCACUGGGCUUAAAGCGUGUGUAGGUGGAUGCCUAAGUACCUUGUGAAAUCCCACAGCUUAACUGUGGAACUGCUUGGUAUACUGGGUGUCUUGAGUCACUCAGGGGCGAGCGGAACAAAUGGUGGAGCGGUGAAAUGCGUAGAUAUCAUUUGGAACGCCAAUGGUGAAAACAGGUCUCUGGGGG